AUAACUCCACCUUACAUCUGACUGUUGUGGCAGGCUCAAUGAAAUCAGCAGCUGCUGGAUCAAUCACUGCCAUUUUUCUGGCUCUCAUAUUGCUCUGUGUCUUCCUAUUGAUUAG